AAGACCCCAACAUGAACGCUGUUCUGAAAGUAUGCAGUCUGAGUUGAUUAUCGUAAUCAGUUAAAACUUUCAACAACGGAUCUCUUGGUUCCGGGCAUCGAUGAAGAACGCAGCGAAAUGCGAUAAGUAAUGUGAAUUGCAGAAUUCAGUGAAUCAUCGAGUCUUUGAACGCACAUUGCGCCCCCUGGUAUUCCGGGGGGCAUGCCUGUCCGAGCGUCAUUGCUGCCCUCAAGCACGGCUUGUGUGUUGGGCCCCCGUCCCCCUCUCCCGGGGGACGGGCCCGAAAGGCAGCGGCGGCACCGCGUCCGGUCCUCGAGCGUAUGGGGCUUUGUCACCUGCUCUGUAGGCCCGGCCGGCGCCAGCCGACACCCAACUUUAUUUUUCUAAGGUUGACCUCGGAUCAGGUAGGGAUACCCGCUGAACUUAAGCAUAUCAAUA
rnacentral:misc_RNA from 1 species